rnacentral:rRNA from 1 species
GAUGAACGCUGGCGGCGUGCUUAAUACAUGCAAGUCGAGCGAACAGACGCUGAUCUUGCUCCUCUGACGUUAGCGGCGGACGGGUGAGAAACACGUGGAUAACCCACCUAUAAGACUGGGAUAACUUCGGGAAACCGGAGCUAAUACCGGAUAAUAUAUUGAACCGCAUGGUUCAAUAGUGAAUUCCGGUUUUGCUGUCACUUCUAGAUGGAUCCGCGCUGCAUUAGCUAGUUGGUAAGGUAACGGCUUACCAAGGCAACGAUGCGUAGCCGACCUGAGAGGGUGAUGGGCCACACUGGAGCUGAGACACGAUCCAGGCUCCGACGGGAGGCAGCAGUAGGGAAUGUUCCGCAAUGGGCGGAAGCUUGACGGAGCAGCGCCACGUGAGUGAUGAAGGUCUUCGGAUCGUAAAACUCUGUUAGGGGUGAAGAACAAAUGUGUAAGUAACUAUGCACGUCGUGACGGUACCUAAUCAGGAAGCCACGGCUAACUACGUG